UGCCGUACGCUCGCCCGCCAAACUUUAAUACGCUCUGUCAAUAUUUGAACUGCAUUUUACCGCUCCGCCGAUUUCACCGUUGCAAACCGAGCCGGUGGCUGGGAAGGCAAGAAGUCGGCAUAGCUGUUUGACUUCGUAUACGGCUGUGUCACUUCGAGCCAGCUCAAUCCACCGGCUUUCUGCGAUAGAAGAGAAUUUGAAGAUGCGCGGAUGCUCCCGUAAGAUAGAGUGCGCCGGAUCGCUUCCUUAAGCCCGUAGCGAAUGCAGCGCCGGGAGAGGGCGUUUGACAGCUGUCAUUUUCGCGUUUUUCUUGCCUCACGGGCGAACGUGGGAGGGAAAAUCUUUAUUUAUAUCACACACGACGAUGUACCCGUAGAGUGCGACCGGCUGUGUACGUGAGUGACGAAACGAUACGAAAAACACGACGACAGAAUGGCGAACGAGGAGGUGUUAGGUCCACGAAAGACAAUGUUCGUACUAGUGAUUGUUGUGGGAUGUUUCGCAGUGCUGUGGCCCAGGAUACUGUCUCCGCUGAUCUUGGGCCACACGCAGGAGCAGUUAAAGCCGAACAAGUUCGACCGGGAGGCAGGAUGCUGUGACGUAAUAUUCGAGCCGCAUAUGGCCGUGCUGGAGCUUAUCAACGAGGUAUGCAGCUCCGUGAUAUCGAAGGAUGGGACGCUGUCCCCUCACGGUGCGGCCGAGUGCAGAAAGUUCGUUAACGAAACGUGCGGUGUUGACAUCGUGGCGUUCUUGAAACGCACAGAGAACGUCGGGAAAACGACGAAAAUGCUACUGGAAACGAUGAAGAGCAGUAACAGUUCGUGUCUUAAAGAGCAUUUCGGAGUACCGGUGUGGAGUGUCAGCACCCACACGGCGUUGAACACGUGGACCCUACAAGACACAUUAAAACAAGAGCGGUCACCCAUUCGAGGGGCUGCCCCUCAUCCAGCCCUCCGCGAGAGGGGGCGAGCGAUCCCCGCCGGAGUGCCGACGCCCCCGUCGAGGGGCCCCGCGCCGCUGCCGCCCCACGUCAGGGUACGAUCCUCACCCCUAUCGGUGUACUUUGAGCUGGAUAUCAAGCCUCCGCCCAUACCUGGCAUGCGCCCGCCGCUGGGCUCCCCCGGCGGACCCGUGCCGGCGCCCAAGUCCUCAAUGGGCUUCGUGAUGCCGAUUUACACCAUCUGCAUAAUCGUCUUCUUCGUGUACACACUUAGCAAGAUCUUGUUCAAGCGUACAGCCACGGUGCCGUAUGACUCCGUCUCGCCCGACCCGCAGUUCCGGCGGCGGGUCUUCCGCGAUGACUCCAGGUCCUCGCCUGAUAAGCUAGGCCCUAAAGAGAGAGACACAAGGGACAUCGAGUUGGAAGCGUUGAGAGCGCGCUUGGCAGAGACCGAGCGAGCAAUGCAAAGGAUCGUCGGUCAGCUGGCGCAGCGUGACGCGGAAGUGCAGGAUAAUCAUGCUCGCCCAUAUACUAACGGAACGAUAUUACACAAUAGUGGACCAGUUCAUAUUGUAGCUAGUGAAUAUAGAGAGGCAUCCAAAGAAAAGAGUCCUGAAACACAAAAGCAGAGAGAACCUUCAUCAGAACCCAAAGAAUCUACACCAGAACCAAAAGAAUCCGCGACAGAGUCAAACAAAGAAGUAUUACAGAAACUCGAAAAUAAUUCAGAAGAGGAAGAACUAAGUGUCAAAACGAAAGUAGACACAGAGCUUAUUAAACUAACAGAAAAUAUAGUUGACAAAGCAGUAGAUUCAGUAAAGAAAGCUACGGAAGAGUUCCUGGAAAAUGCAAAAGUGAAUAAUGUUUCGGCUGCCCCCGAAGAGAAGCAAGAGAAGCAGUCGACCCCCGAACUUCUUGAGGAAGCUCUUAAAGAAGAUUCUCCGGUAAAGAAUCUUGAGGAAGAAGAAGAAGUUGAAGAGGAAGAGGUGGAGGAAGAAGAAGAAGAAGAGGCGGAGGAUGAUGUCGAGCCGGAAAAUGCAAGUGUCAAGGUGGUAGGCAUGGAGCUAACCGCGCAUGCGGCGGACGGCAGCGCAUGGCCGCAAUCGACGCCUGCGCAGGCGCCGCCCCCGCCUCCCGCCGCCGCGCGACCCACGCGUACAUCGCUUUCCAGCACGAGGCUGAUGAGGUGAAGUCGAUAUUCCUGGAGACGGAGAUUCCUCAGCAGUCGCGCGUGCUUGUCGCUGACUUCGCUGAGAAGACGGCAGACAGGACCCCACCUACCAGGCAUUCGCCGUUGGUUGUUAGCGGCAAAAUGACGUUGUCACUCAUACAGGACGCACCUAGAGACACGCCGGAAAGGGACCCAG
rnacentral:misc_RNA from 1 species